rnacentral:rRNA from 1 species
UGGGGAAUUUUGGACAAUGGGCGAAAGCCUGAUCCAGCCAUGCCGCGUGAGUGAAGAAGGCCUUCGGGUUGUAAAGCUCUUUUAGUCGGAAAGAAAGAGUUGCAAUGAAUAAUUGUGAUUUAUGACGGGACCGACAGAAAAAGCACCGGCUAACUACGUGCCAGCAGCCGCGGUAAUACGUAGGGUGCGAGCGUUAAUCGGAAUUACUGGGCGUAAAGGGUGCGCAGGCGGUCCUGCAAGUCAGAUGUGAAAGCCCCUGGCUUAACCUGGGAAUUGCGUUUGAAACUACAAGGCUAGAGUGGAGCAGAGGGGAGUGGAAUUCCAUGUGUAGCAGUGAAAUGCGUAGAGAUGUGGAAGAACACCGAUGGCGAAGGCAGCUCCCUGGGUUGUCACUGACGCUGAUGCAUGAAAGCGUGGGGAGCAAACA